CCUACGGGAGGCUGCAGUGAGGAAUAUUGGUCAAUGGACGAGAGUCUGAACCAGCCAAGUAGCGUGAAGGAUGACUGCCCUAUGGGUUGUAAACUUCUUUUAUCUGGGAAUAAAACGUUCCACGUGUGGGAUUUUGUAUGUACCAUAUGAAAAAGGAUCGGCUAACUCCGUGCCAGCAGCCGCGGUAAUACGGAGGAUCCGAGCGUUAUCCGGAUUUAUUGGGUUUAAAGGGAGCGUAGGUGGAUUGUUAAGUCAGUUGUGAAAGUUUGCGGCUCAACCGGAAAAUUGCAGUUGAAACUGGCAGUCUUGAGUACAGUAGAGGUGGGCGGAAUUCGUGGUGUAGCGGUGAAAUGCUUAGAUAUCACGAAGAACUCCGAUUGCGAAGGCAGUUCACUGGACUGCAACUGACACUGAGGCUCGAAAGUGUGGGUAUCAAACAGGAUUAGAUACCCGUGUAGUC
rnacentral:rRNA from 1 species